ensembl:lncRNA
GAGCAGGACUCUCAGUUCCAACCCUCAGUCAUUCCCCUCAUUAUCCCAGCCUCUGAUGCUUGGGUUUGUUAUGUCACGUUCCACCAAAGAAGGCAAUAAAUAAACUCAAAGCAAAUAUCAGCCCCUUCUUGCUCCUUAUUUAUGAGCUACCAAUUAUGUGUCCCUCCGUCUUGCCUUUUAGCUCAACUUCCCACCAUCAGUUCUAGAGAACAGUACCAUUUGAGAAAGGUGAGAUAUAAAUCAAGGCUACAGAGUUAAGAGACUCAGAUUCCAAGUUAGCUGAUUCCAUCACUGCACAAGGUGAAACCAGGGGUAGGUCUCCAGGAACUGACAGAUGGGCUGGUAAACUCAGUGGAACACCCAAAGUUAACCUGUAGAAGCAAGUCACAGAUCAUGCCUCCUCUCAAGGAGACAGAACUGAUUAUAUAAGGA